rnacentral:rRNA from 1 species
AUUGAACGCUGGCGGCAGGCCUAACACAUGCAAGUCGAGCGAGCGGCGGACGGGUGAGUAAUGUAUGGGGACUGCCUGAUGGCGGGGGAUAACUACUGGAAACGGUAGCUAAUACCGCAUACCAUCAGAUACCCCAUAUGGGAUUAGCUAGUAGGUAAGGUAACGGCUUACCUAGGCGACGAUGCCUAGCUGGUCUGAGAGGACGAUCAGCCACACGGGGAGUGAGACACGGCCCAGACUCCUACGGAGUCAGCAGUGGGGAAUAUUGCACAAUGGGCGCAAGCCUGAUGCAGCCAGGCCGGGUGUAUGAAGAAGGCCUUCGGGUUGUAAAGUACUUUCAGUCGGGAGGCGUUACCGACAGAAGAAGCACCGGCUAACUCCGUGCCAGCAGCCGCGGUAAUAC